rnacentral:rRNA from 1 species
CACAGAGGUCUCAAGCGUUGUUCGGAUUCAUUGGGCGUAAAGGGUGCGUAGGCGGCGCGGUAAGUCGGGUGUGAAAUCUCGGGGCUUAACUCCGAAACUGCAUUCGAUACUGCCGUGCUUGAGGACUGGAGAGGAGACUGGAAUUUACGGUGUAGCGGUGAAAUGCGUAGAUAUCGUAAGGAAGACCAGUGGCGAAGGCGGGUCUCUGGACAGUUCCUGACGCUGAGGCACGAAGGCCAGGGGAGCAAACGGG